GACGUAGGGUGCAAGCGUUAAUCGGAAUUACUGGGCGUAAAGCGUGCGCAGGCGGUUUUGUAAGACAGAUGUGAAAUCCCCGGGCUCAACCUGGGAACUGCAUUUGUGACUGCAAGGCUAGAGUGCGUCAGAGGGAGGUGGAAUUCCGCGUGUAGCAGUGAAAUGCGUAGAGAUGCGGAGGAACACCGAUGGCGAAGGCAGCCUCCUGGGAUGACACUGACGCUCAUGCGCGAAAGCGUGGGGAGCAAACAGG
rnacentral:rRNA from 1 species